UACGUAGGGUGCAAGCGUUGUCCGGAAUCAUUGGGCGUAAAGCGCGCGUAGGCGGCCCGAUAAGUCCGCUGUAAAAGUCAACGGCUCAACUGUUGAAAGCCGGUGGAUACUGUCGGGCUAGAGUACGGAAGAGGCAAGUGGAAUUCCUGGUGUAGCGGUGGAAUGCGCAGAGUAUCAGGAGGAACACCUAUAGCGAAGGCAGCUGCUGGGACGUACUGACGCUAAGGCGCGAAAGCGUGGGGAGCGAACAGG
rnacentral:rRNA from 1 species